rnacentral:hammerhead_ribozyme from 1 species
GCAUUGCUGAGGAGUCCCAUAAAAGGACGAGACGGCCGUCCGGUGU